CCUGGUUGAUCCUGCUAGUAGUCAUAUGCUUGUCUCAAAGAUUAAGCCAUGCAUGUCUAAGUAUGAACUAAUUCAGACUGUGAAACUACAGAUGGCUCAUUAAAUCAGUUAUAGUUUUCUUGAUGGUACCAUACUACUCGGAUAACCAUAGUAAUUCUAGAGCUAAUACGUGCACCAAGUCCCAACUCUUUGGAAGGGAUGCAUUUUUUAGAUAAAAGGUUGGCGCGAGCUUGCCCGCUUCUCUGGUGAAUCAUGAUAACUCGACGAAUUGCACAGCCCUUGUGCUAGCAAUGCCUCAUUCAAAUUUCUGCCCUAUCAACUUUCAAUGGUAGGAUAGAGGCAUACCAUGGUGGUGAUAGGUGAUAGAGAAUUAGGGUUUGAUUAUGGAGAGGGAGCCUGAGAAACGGCUACCACAUCCAAGGAAGGUAGUAGGCGCACAAAUUACCCAAUCCUGACAUGGGCAUGUAGUUACAAUAAAUAACAAUACUAGGCUCAUCGAGUCUGGUAAUUGGAAUGAAUACAAUCUAAAUCCCUUAAUGAGGAUCCAUUGGAGGGAAAGUUUGGUACCAACAGCCGCUGUAAUUCCUGCUCCAAUAGCGUAUAUUUAAGUUUUUGCAGUUAAAAAUCUCAUAGUUGGAUAUUGGGUCGUAAAGGUCGGUCCACCUGCUCAAUGUGCACCUGCCCUUCCAUCCCUUUUGUCGGUGGCGUGCUCCUAGCCUUAAUUGGCUGGGUCGUGGCUCUGGCGCUAUUACUUUGAAAAAAUUAGAGUGCUCAAAGCAAUCUUAUGCUCUGAAUACAUUAGCAUGGAAUAAUGUGAUAGGAGUCUGGUCCUAUUGUGUUGGCCUUCAGGACCAGAGUAAUGAUUAAUAGGGACUAUCAGGGGCAUUCAUAUUUCAUUGUCAGAGGUGAAAUUCUUGGAUUUAUGAAAGACAGACCACUGCGAAAGCAUUUGCCAAGGAUGUUUUCAUUAAUCAAGAAUGAAAGUUGGGGGCUCGAAGACGAUCAGAUACCAUCCUAGUCUCAACCAUAAACGAUGUUGACCAGGGAUCAGCAGAUGUUGCUCUAAGGACUCCGCCAGCACCUUCUGAGAAGUCAGAGUGUUUGGGUUUCAGGGGCAGUAUGGUCACAAUGCUGAAACUUAAAGGAAUUGAUGGAAGGGCACCACCAGGAGUGGAGUCUGCGGCUUAAUUUGACUCAACACGGGGAAACUUACCAGGUCCAGACAUAGUAAGGAUUGAUAUAUUAAGAGAUCUUUCUUGAUUCUAUGGGUGGUGGUGCAUGGCCGUUCUUAGUUGGUGGAGUGAUUUGUCUAGUUAAUUCCAAUAAUGAACGAGACGUCAACUUGCGAACUAGCCAUGCAGAGGUUCCCCUUCGUAGCCAGCUUCUUAGAGGGGCUAUGGCCAUUUAGGCCAUGGAAGUUUGAGGCAAUAAUAGGUCUGUGAUGCCCUUAGAUGUUCUGGGCCACACGCACGCUACAUUGAUGUAGCCAAUGAGUUUUUCUUCCUGGUUUGAGAGGAUCGGGAAAUCUUCUCAAAUUGCAUCAUGAUGGGGAUAGACCAUUGCAAUUAUUGGUAUUCAACAAGGAAUUCCUAGUAAGCAUGUGUCAUCAACUCGUGUUGACUACAUCCCUGCCCUUUGUACACACUACCUGUCGCUCCUACUGAUUGAAUGAUUCGAUGAAGUGUUCAGAUUGCAUCGAUGAUGAUGGUUCACCGCCAUCGAUGGCGUGAGAAGUUCAUUGAACCUUAUUAUUUAGAGGAAGGACAAGUCGUAACAAGGUUACCAUAGGUGAACCUACGGUAG
rnacentral:rRNA from 1 species